CUGCUUGAUUCAGCAGCAUACAUACUAAAAUUAAAACAGUACAUAGAAGAUGAGCAGAGCACAGAUCAGGAUGAUACAUACAUUUGUGAAGUAUUUUCCUUUUUU
ensembl:snRNA U6 U6 spliceosomal RNA